rnacentral:lncRNA from 1 species
AAAUUCAUCAGGAUCUUGUGCACCCGGUUCAUGCAAGUGCGGCUUGGAUCCGCACUAAAAUCACCGAACCCAACGCUUGCCGACCAAUAGGGGAGACUUGGUGACGGUGACACAAGACUCGCAGCGCUCUCUUGGCGUAUGAAGAUUUCAAGUCGUCUCAAAGUCUUUUGAAGAACAGGACGACAUGUCAGAGAAAAAGCACACGGAAGAGACGAGACGUUGUGGGUUUCUCUCUGUCAUCCAUCCGAAUAAUGACGAAAGGUGGAUUAACACGAACUGAGGGCGUCACAUGGGAGAUUCCACAGCGACGAAACGUGCAUCGCGCCAGCUGGACGUUGCUCGGUCCAUUGUCCAUACCCAUGGAGGAGCAGUGGGAGUAUGGUUCUCUUUGCAUGUGAAUUUGAAAAGGCAGGGAAACACCACAUUAAAAGUAGAAAAUGACAACACCGCCCGUGCUCCGUGCUGAUUUGACCUCUCCACCCAUUUUCUUCUACAUGAGGUCAUCGACUUCACUGUACACAAUAAUAGACCGGCCAAUUGGCCCAAGCUGUUGCUUAACGAAAUGAUAUGUUGACAACAUGGCAUAGACUUAAAAAGGUUCCUUUGCUUCUCAGGUUAAAAUCACCCUUUGCUUCUCAUAUUAGAAUCACUUGAACGUAAUAGCAAUUAUAAAAUUAUUAUAUGCACUCGGUAUAUUGAGGCCCAAUAAAUACGAUCUGUUAAAUCAUAUGAAUCUCAUAUUAUAUCCAUGCAUGACCUGCUGUUUUGUGUGUAAAUAAUAAUGUUGCAUCGCAAUAAAUAUCGACUUUAAAAGUAUCUCAAUCCCACUAUUUGCCAAAAAAAUAUAUAAUAUAGCAACAACAAAAAGAAAGAGCCAAGUGAGAAGGCAGUGCAUCCAUACAAAACAGUGGUUGGGAUUUCUCCACAUACUUUAUGCUCCUUUUUAUUUAAAAGAGACUUGUUUACCAUAUUGAGUUGAAGACGACUGUCCAAAAUCUUGCCCUCCAGCGUUAAAAGAAAAAUUUUGUACCAUUUUGUGUACCAAAUCCCCUCGUCCCCCGUGAUAGAGAACUAUCAUUUCACUAUGAAAAUUAUUAGUUUUUUAAAAAAGCCACUUUUUACACCUUGAAUUACAAAUAUAAUGACAUUCGGGUGCUUUAGUAAAAAGUAGCUCUCUUCUAUGAAUAAUAGAAAAUAUUGGGUACCUUUCACAUAGACUUGAUAUGUACCUAUCACGUUAGUGCUGACAAGGCAAAUCAUUAAUAUACUCAAAUUAUUAAUUUUUCAAAUUUGUAGCACUCAAAUAAAUAUAUAUAAAAAAAUUAGUACUCAAAUGAGGGUCUUUUGCCCUGUUAUUUAAUGGGGUUGGUGUGAGAGGUCGAACUUAGACUUCGACUCUAUGAACAAAUAUAGUGUGAGAGAGUUUGAGUGAGUUUUUCUUUGGAAAUAAAGAUGGUGCAUUGACUUCUAACGUUGGCUGUGGCCUGGUGGCUGCGACUAGGUGGCGCUCAGAAGGCGCUCUGCUCACCCCGGUGUGGAAAAGUGGAAGUAUCUUAUCCGUACGGGCUCGAAACCAGUCGUGCGAGAUCCAGGGACUUUUUGCUCAAUUGCACCUCUCCUGGCCAACUAUAGUUGGGGAAUGUUACGGUACACGAAAUCGAUGUCCACAACUCGACCUUGGAGGUCGCCUCCCCGAAGAACAUAACGAUACUCAACUGCUGCUUGCCUUCAGGAGGAGUAUUCCGAUGCUCAACACCUCGUCCGGGAACUUGGUGGCUACGCUGGACUGGAUGAUUGUAGAGAACAGGACUUGCAAAGAGGCCGGAUCGAACAAGUCGAGCUAUGCCUGUGCAGGCCAAGGACUACGGGGAUGAACGGGGUCAUAUCUGCAUAUGCGAGGACGGGUACAAGGAUGUACAGGUAAUCAACGUAUGUGAUUCCUCAUGCAUUGUCGCGCAUUGUGUGGAUAAUUAAUUAAUUAAUCACUAUGCUAGAGCCUGAUAGAGAACUACUGUAUCUAUGUACUGAUUCCACCUAGUUUUACCCAAAUUGCCGCUUGAUUUGCACUACCCGCUCUCUCUCUCUCUCUCUCUCUCUCCACCUCCACUCUUCGGCUUGCACGUCACGCCAUUGCCACAGCGGCCAUCAUUCACCCACCACCCUAGGUGAGCCCACUGUCGGCCUUCACAUGCCGUCAAACUACCAUGUCCAUGUCGAGAGAGAGAGAGAGCCCUGGCUCUCUCCUUACAUUGCUCGUACGCACCCCCUUUUGUCCACCGGCAACAGUACCUCCACUUUAAAGUAACACCUAUCACAUGACGAAAAAAAACAAAAAAGUACAGAAAAGUACCUGGGAUUAAUAUAUGUGAGAUCUUCACCUUUUUAUGCUGGCUUCGGACAUAGUUGGCCCACCUCUGGACCCAAAAAGAAUAUAAAAAAAAACAUGCUUCACAGGUGAGCGAGCCUACUCAAUCACCAACGUUGAUUUACGUCGGCUCUAUAUAAGACUUACCUCAUCUAAAAAUGAAAUUCACCAGGAUCUUGUGCACCCGGUUCAUGCAAGUGCGGCUUGGAUCUACACUAAAAUCACCGAGCCCAACGCUUGCCGACCAAUAGGGGAGACUUGGUGACAGUGACACAAGACUCGCAGCGCUUUCUUGGCGGAUGAAGAUUUCAAGUCGUCUCAAAGUCUUUUGAAGAACAGGACGACAUGCCAGAGAAAAAGCACACAGAAGAGACGAGACGUUGUGGGUUUCUCUCUGUCAUCCAUCCGAAUAAUGACGAAAGGUG